rfam:Triticum aestivum genome assembly, contig: Triticum_aestivum_CS42_TGACv1_scaffold_082639_1DS
CUCAUACUCCCUCCGUCAAGAAAUACUUGUCCAAGAAAUGGAUGUAUCUAAAUGUAUUUUAGUUUUAGAUACAUUCAUUUGUAUCCAUUUGUACGACAAGUAUUUCCGGACAGAGUACAUU